rnacentral:rRNA from 1 species
CCCAGCUUUCGACGGUAAGGUAUUGGCUUACCGUGGCGUUAACAGUUACGAGAAAUUAGGGUUUGAUUUCGGAGAGGGAGCCUGAGAAACGGCUGCCACUUCUACGGAAGGCAGCAGGCGCGCAACUUAUCCAAUCUCAAUUCGAGGAGAUAGUGACUAAAAAUAACAAUGCCGAUCUAAAUAUAGUUUGGUAAUUGGAAUGAGUACAAUUUAAAAGCUCUAACGAGCAACAACCGGAGGGCAAGUCUGGUGCCAGCAGCCGCGGUAAUUCCAGCUCCGAUAGCGUAUAUUAAAGUUGUUGCAGUUAAAAAGCUCGUAGUUGGGAAGGAAGGUGGGAAGGUAUUUGAUCCGAAGGAAUUUGUAAAUCAAGCCGUCCUGCUUUACACUGUUUAUAUGAUGAAUUAAUUUUCAUUUAUUUACAUUUUACUUUGAAAAAAUUAGAUCACUUAAAGAAGGAAUUUUUAAUUCACUUCCAUUGAAUAAUCUACCAUAGGAUAAUUGAAUAAGACCUACAUCUUAUUUUGUUGGUUUUCUAGAUGAAGGUAAUGAUAAAUAGGGACAGACGGGGAUAUCAGUAUUUGGCUGUCAGAGGUGAAAUUCUAAGACCAGUUGAAGACUCACUACUGCGAAAGCAUUUAUCAAGCAUGUUUUCAUUAAUCAAGAACGAAAGUUGGGGGAUCGAAGGCGAUUAGAGACCGCUGUAGUCUCAACUGUAAACUAUGCCGGCCAGGGAUAUGAAGAUGAGAAUGGGUAGGUGCGAAAGCGCAUGCCACAAUCUUUUCAUGAACCUUAUGAGAAAUCACAAGCUUUUAGGUUCUGGGGGGAGUAUGGUCGCAAGACUGAAACUUAAAGGAAUUGACGGAAGGGCACCACCAGGAGUGGAGCUUGCGGCUCAAUCUGAUUCAACGCGGGCAAACUCACCAGGUCCGGACACAAGAAGGAAUUACAGAUUGAUAGCUCUUUGAUGAUUUUGUGGGUGGUGGUGCAUGGCCGUUCUUAGUUGGUGGAGUGAUUUGUCUGGUUGAUUCCGUUAACGAGCGAGACCUUGAAAGGAUGAUAGGGGAGGCAGGGUUGAGAUGAGGAGGUAGGAUGAAAUGUGUUUGAAUA